rnacentral:lncRNA from 1 species
UUAUUCUUCCUUACUAGUAACAGAGCACAGAGCCCCUAUUCUUCCUUACUAGUAACAGAGCACAGCCCCUAUUCUUCCUUACUGUAGCCUUUCCUUUCGCACUCCGCCGGAACACAAAUAGCGCUAACGCGAGCUCGCACCUUAUAUUGAAGUUUCCAAGCACCCGAACCCAUAUUAUUGCCUGGUUGGAGUUGACUAGCACCCUCACCUAGACUCGCA